rnacentral:misc_RNA from 1 species
UUCCUUUGCAACUCAAAGCCUGGGGAUAAAGUUCAGAUCACUGGACCUUCUGGCAAGAUAAUGCUUUUGCCUGAAGAUAACCCUAAUGCCACGCACAUAAUGAUUGCAACUGGCACUGGAGUGGCUCCUUUUAGAGGCUACCUCAGACGAAUGUUCAUGGAGGAUAUCCCUACAUUCAAGUUUGGUGGUCUUGCUUGGCUCUUCCUUGGAGUAGCAAACACCGACAGCCUCCUCUAUGAUGAUGAAUUUACAAAGUAUCUUCAAGCCUACCCAGAUCACUUCCGCUAUGACAAGGCACUUAGCAG